GACGAGCCUCACAAACGUUAUUCGGAAUUACUGGGCUUAAAGGGUGCGUAGGCGGCGCGGAAAGUUGGGUGUGAAAUCCCUCGGCUCAACCGAGGAACUGCGCCCAAAACUACCGUGCUCGAGGAAGAUAGAGGUGAGCGGAACUCACGGUGGAGCGGUGAAAUGCGUUGAUAUCGUGAGGAACACCCGUGGCGAAAGCGGCUCACUGGGUCUUUUCUGACGCUGAGGUGCGAAAGCGUGGGGAGCAAACAGG
rnacentral:rRNA from 1 species